GAGUUUGAUCAUGGCUCAGGAUGAACGCUAGCGGCAGGCUUAACACAUGCAAGUCGAGGGGUAACAUAAGUGCUUGCACUUGAUGACGACCGGCGCACGGGUGCGUAACGCGUAUAGAAUCUACCUUAUACUAGGGGAUAGCCUUUGGAAACGAAGAUUAAUACCCUAUAGUAAGUAUUUAUGGCAUCAUUUAUACUUUAAAGGUUACGGUAUAAGAUGACUAUGCGUCCUAUUAGUUUGUUGGUGAGGUAACGGCUCACCAAGACUUCGAUAGGUAGGGGCCCUGAGAGGGGGAUCCCCCACACUGGUACUGAGACACGGACCAGACUCCUACGGGAGGCAGCAGUGAGGAAUAUUGGACAAUGGAGGAAACUCUGAUCCAGCCAUGCCGCGUGCAGGAUGACGGCCCUAUGGGUUGUAAACUGCUUUUAUGUAGGAAGAAACACUCUCACGUGUGAGAGCUUGACGGUACUACAAGAAUAAGGACCGGCUAACUCCGUGCCAGCAGCCGCGGUAAUACGGAGGGUCCAAGCGUUAUCCGGAAUCAUUGGGUUUAAAGGGUCCGUAGGCGGGCUAUUAAGUCAGAGGUGAAGGUUUGCAGCUCAACUGUAAAAUUGCCUUUGAAACUGGUAGUCUUGAAUUAUUAUGAAGUGGUUAGAAUAAGUAGUGUAGCGGUGAAAUGCAUAGAUAUUACUUAGAAUACCAAUUGCGAAGGCAGAUCACUAAUAAUAUAUUGACGCUGAGGGACGAAAGCGUGGGGAGCGAACAGGAAUAGAUACCCUGGUAGUCCACGCCGUAAACGAUGGAUACUAGC
rnacentral:rRNA from 1 species